GACGAACGCUGGCGGCGUGCCUAAUACAUGCAAGUAGAACGCACAGUUUAUACCGUAGCUUGCUACACCAUAGACUGUGAGUUGCGAACGGGUGAGUAACGCGUAGGUAACCUGCCUGGUAGCGGGGGAUAACUAUUGGAAACGAUAGCUAAUACCGCAUAAUAUUAAUUAUUGCAUGAUAAUUAAUUGAAAGGUGCAAUUGCACCACUACCAGAUGGACCUGCGUUGUAUUAGCUAGUAGGUGAGGUAACGGCUCACCUAGGCGACGAUACAUAGCCGACCUGAGAGGGUGAUCGGCCACACUGGGACUGAGACACGGCCCAGACUCCUACGGGAGGCAGCAGUAGGGAAUCUUCGGCAAUGGACGAAAGUCUGACCGAGCAACGCCGCGUGAGUGAAGAAGGUUUUCGGAUCGUAAAGCUCUGUUGUAAGAGAAGAACGGGUGUGAGAGUGGAAAGUUCACACUGUGACGGUAUCUUACCAGAAAGGCGG
rnacentral:rRNA from 1 species